UACAGGGGAUGCUAGUGUUAUUCGGAAUUACUGGGCGUAAAGCGCACGUAGGCGGCUUUGUAAGUCAGAGGUGAAAGCCUGGAGCUCAACUCCAGAACUGCCUUUGAGACUGCAUCGCUUGAAUCCAGGAGAGGUGAGUGGAAUUCCGAGUGUAGAGGUGAAAUUCGUAGAUAUUCGGAAGAACACCAGUGGCGAAGGCGGCUCACUGGACUGGUAUUGACGCUGAGGUGCGAAAGCGUGGGGAGCAAACAGG
rnacentral:rRNA from 1 species